GGAAGUUUAAAUUGGUACAUUUAUCAGGGCAACCGGGAAAAAUGUAUCAAAAUUACAAGUGCAAAUACUUCUUUUACCUUUUUUUAAUUGAAAUAUAAUUAAUUUACAAUGUGUUAGUUUCAAAUGUACAGCAAAUUGAUUCAGUUUUAUGUUCUUUUUCAGAUUCUUUUCCAUUAUAAGUUAUUACAACAUAUUGCGUAUAGUUCCCCGUGCUAUACACUGUCUGACUCAGAACCAGAACAAACCUCUAAAUCUUCCUGUGCGUCUCCCAAAGUUUGUUUCAUCCAGAGACAAAGGAGGAAGAAUCCUUCAAGUUGGCCUGCUCACGAAAAACUCAAGAGGAUGAAAUGGAGAACUCCCAGGCCCUGCCUCGUACUCAGAGAAAAUGGGAGACUGCCUGACUGUGGGCAUCACAAGAAUUUCAAGGCCCAGAACCUGAGGGACCUGGCUGGCAUGGCUCGCUGAGUCUCAGAAUAAUCACCUUCUAUGGUAGCCUAAGUUGUUCCUGAGGCUUUGACUUGAGGGACAGCCCACCCUACAGAAUUGCUAAGAAAGGCAAACUUUGGGUGCACUCUGAAAGAUUCAAGGCUACGGGGAGCCACGUUCACCCUCCGGCAUGUAUAUCCUGUUUAUAUCCUUCGCUCUGCUUGUUAGCUUAUCCAGAACAAAACCAAGGUAAUAUCAACUUGAGUGGAGGCCAAGUAUUUAUUCUCUCCAUUCCCUGAACCCAGACCAGAUUCCAUGGUCCAGUUUUCAGCUUACAUUAUAUCAUCCAGCUCUGUUUUUACAGUAAACGUAUUUAAUAAAAGAUGACAAUUUAUGCACAGUGAAUAUUAUUUUAAGAGAAACUAGAGGAAUAGGCUUAUGCCCUGAAAGAGCUCACUUUCCAGUGAGGGAGACAAAAAGUAUAAAAACCUUUACCAUUGAAAGCCAUGUCGAAGCUAUGGGGGCUGAGAUCUAUGAUGAACCAUGGGUCAUUCACUCCAUUGAAUGUAAUAGUGUGUAAACCUACCUUCUCAAAUUACUUAUUUUCAAUAGAAUUUUAAAACAUAAGAUUAUCCAGUACGGAAUUAUUUAAUCUAUCUAAACUAGACCUCUGUGAGCAUACCACAAUACCACACACUUCUACCUCUGAUUCCAAUAUUUCUUUGGGGUCGGGGCAGAAGGCCACUGUACUUAACCUUGCCCUGGUGCCUGCAGUGAGUGGCUCAUUGGUCACCUUGUACGGGUGGGUUCUCUCUUUUUCCCAGGCGGCAACCUAAGCUGUCCCCGUGGCCUGGAUAUGGUAUGAGAGGUCUCACGGAGAUGAGAACCAGAGUCUCAGUUUCCAGGGUUAGGAGAGUGGGGAGAUAGCGUGCACCCCUCCCAUGGGAACAAGCGUCAUCAAGCUAGGAAAGCUCAGGGGUUUAUACCACGUGAACCCUACUGUGUUUUUCCUAGCAUAUGACAUAGUGUCCUUUAAUAGAUGAGGAAGCACGUACGUGUUCGUUCUGAUACGGUACAAAGGAUCGAACUUGGACUUAGAAUCUUAAUUCAUAUACAGAAACAGGAAGAAGUGCCCCAAUUGGGGAAGUGUGGGGCGCUGUGGCAGCACAGAAGAACUAACGUCUGGACUACGACCUGAAAAUGACUGACUUGACUUGUUCUCCCACCCAGCCAGCAAUCCCCUUGUACCCCGCCUCCCUCUUUUCUACAGUCACUGGAAGCCCAAGCCUCCCUGGUCACCUCCUCUGUAUGGUCACGCUCAUCCUGCUCAGCACAGCUCCCGGUCUGACCAAACUCCCCACCCUUCCGGGCCCUCCGAAACCUUUCUAUGUGCCUUCUAGAACCCUGAAGUUCCAGAUGUGUGGUAAACACUCUGCCCCCUAACCUUAACCUCCCUCAUCAAUGCUGCUUCUGACUCCUUGACCUUACUGUGCAUGACCUGUUGAUCUCCUGAGGACACUGGCUCCUCUAUAGCCUUUUCA